rnacentral:rRNA from 1 species
GCAAGUCGAGCGAUCUCUUCGGAGAUAGCGGCGCACGGGUGAGUAACGCGUGGAUAAUCUCCCUUAGAGAUCGGGAUAACAGUUGGAAACGACUGCUAAUACCGUAUAUACUGCAUAUUUAACUUUAUGUGGAAAAGGUGGCCUCUAUUUAUAAGCUAUCGCUCUGAGAUGAGUCCGCGUCUCAUUAGAUUGUUGGUGGGGUAAUGGCCUACCAAGUCUACGAUGAGUAGCAGGUCUGAGAGGAUGAUC